GACGAACGCUGGCGGCGUGCCUAAUACAUGCAAGUAGGACGCAGUUGCGAACGGGUGAGUAACGCGUAGGUAACUACCUAUUAGAGGGGGAUAACUAUUGGAAACGAUAGCUAAUACCGCAUACUAGUAGAUUGACCUGCGUUGUAUUAGCUAGGAGGUAGGGUAAUGGCCUACCUAGGCAACGAUACAUCGCCGACCUGGGAGGGUGGUCGGCCCAACUGGGACUGAGACAAGGCCCAGACCCCUAAGGGAGGCAGCAGGAGGGAAUCUUUGGAAAUGGGGGGAAACCUGAACGAGCAAAGCCGCGGGAGAGAAGAAGGUUUUCGGAGCGGAAAGCUCUGUUGUGAAGGAAGCGGUACUUAACCAGAAAGGGACGGCUAACUACGUGCCAGCAGCCGCGGUAAUAC
rnacentral:rRNA from 1 species